ensembl:lncRNA
GAGAGAGAAAUCCGGUUAAAAUCAGAGUCGGAGGGAGGUUUAACCACAGAUCGGUUCCGAUCGGAUUAUUCCUUAAAGGGGACGCGCCAUUGUCAAGAGAACGGAGCCUUGGGCUCGAGGGCGGGGACCGGCGGCGCCUGAGGAUCGAGGCAGCUGCACUUGGACUGGGGACGGAUUUUAACAUUCCGUAUUCCGCUUGGUACAUGGUGAAUCACUACUGCUCUGCACCAGGGUGCCCACUUGAGUGCCUAUAAAGUACAAGCUCCAGAUCAGAAGAGCUUCUAGAUGGAUCCUUUCCAAAUUUGGUAUCUUUUCUACAAACUCUGUGCCUCAACAACCCUUUCUAAGUGAGCUGAAGCCAUUUAUUGAAUCUUGGAUGAUUAACACCUAAAUGCUUAAUUCUCAAAACUGCUCAAGAGUCCCACAGCCAGGAUUAGAUGAUCCAAUUUACCACCAAGGAAUUUCUGUCUUGAAUUCUACGAUGGAGAAAUUGUGAUUGCUAUAAAUCAAGGUAAAGCCAUUUAUAAAGUUAAUAGUUUGAUAACCUUGGAAAAUAUUUUUAUGAUGAAGGGUUCACUUAUUGAAAAAAAAUGUUACUGUUACAACCUGUAGGGUAUGUAGGUGAAAAAUAAGAUAAGAGUUUUAUCUGUCACAACAGAGAUCACUUAAAGUUUUUAAAAAGUCCCAUUCGUUUGUUCCAAAGAUAGAGAAUAUUUGGGGUGAAAUACUUAAAAAGUGAUGUUUUUAAAAAUAAUGAUGAUUAUUUGUGUCACAGUAACUUUGUUUCAUAUAAUUCUGCCAAGUUGAAUAUGAUGCCUUUUAAAGUUUAUGAGGAUCAUAUCCAUUAUGUGUUUGGAGAAAAGUCAGACUUAUAUGUAUAGUAACUAGCAAAUAUUAAAAGAAAGGAAAGUCCAUUGGGAAGAUGAUGGAAAAAUGCCUAAGUUUUAAAAUGUUGACUAGAACACUUUAAAAUGUUAAAACGAUCUGUGUGCUUAUGAUUUUUUUUUUUGAAAUUUUAGGGAAUAUAUAACUGCUCAGAUAAACUAAUAUUUAGUAGAAAGAAGAGAUUUUCGGUUAACUCUCUUCAACUUUGAUAUAUAUUAUAUCUGUUUUCUAUGCAUAUUUUAAUAUGUACAUAUACAUUCUUAUUUAUGGAAUUUAAAAAUGAGAUUUACUAUCCAGCUGUUCUGCUUUUUAAUUUAAUUUAUCAUAAGCAUCUUUCUCUCAUUUAAAAUUCACUCCAUUGUGUGGGUAUAACUUUUUUCAGUCAGUUCCUUUAUUGACAAACACUUAGGGAUUUUAAUUUUUAGUUAUUAAAAAUAAUUAUGUAAUAUCCAUUUAUUUUAUUACUUUAUUAUCCAUUUAUUGUAUUACUUUAUACUUUUAUUUGAUUGCGUCUUUGUAUAAAUUUCUGUGUACAUGUAAAAUUUUUGAUAGCGAUGCCAAGUUAUCUUUCAAAAAUUUCUCAAUUUAAGCUCUCCAGGGCAGUAUCCCCAUUUCUUUGUAUUCUCCCUAACACUCUGUCUUGUCAAUUUAAAAAAUAGGGUCAUGUUUAGACGAAACCAUACUUUUCUGUGUUAUGUAAAAGAGAGGAGAAGGAGCUUUUAAGCUUUAAAAGGAAAUAAAUAUUAACCUCUAGAAAGUACUGGUAUUAGAAGUCACUUUUUUAAAUACUCUUCACGCAUUUGGGUGGAUAAAGUGGAAGUGAGGCCACUGAUAGGUUAGUGCUUCUUUUUUUUUUUUUUCCUUUGACUUUUGUCUUUUCUAGGGUCGCACCUGUGGCAUAUGGAGGUUCCCAGGCUAGGAGUCAAAUCAGAGUUGUAGCCGCCAGCCUAUGCCAGAGCCACAGAAACACAGGAUCCAAGCCGCGUCUGCGACCCGCACCACAGCUCAGGGCAACGUUGGAUCCUUAACCCACUGAGCAAGGACAGGGAUCGAACCCUCAACCUCAUGGUUCCUAGUCAGAUUCUUUAACCACUGCGCCAAGAUGGGAACACUGGGUUAGUGUUUCUUAAUUUCACUUAAACUCUGCAAAUCAAUUAGCAUUUAGUUUUGUGUUCACCAGUGUAUAUAUAUAUAUAUGUGCAUAGGUGAAAAAUACUAAUAGAUUAAUAUGUACAGUUAUCUCAGUUAUUAAAAAUUUACUGUUUAACUUUGUCUUGAAUCAUUUAGUUGUUUUCUUCAUUGUACCAUAACAUAGAUAAGGGACUUGGUGUUUCAAUGUAAUAUGCCAUGCGCAUCAUUAGUUUAAUAUAGCUCUUUUUGUAAGACUACCUUACAUAUUGUUGAACAUAGUGUAGGUUAUUAAAGUAUAAUAAUGAGAUUUUAUAACAUUAAUUUGCAAAUAAGCACUCAAUUUAAUGAUUAAGAUUUAAUGUAUAUCUUUUUACCAAUCAGUUAAAAGAAAGCAGAAUCUGAUAUUUGAAAUUUCAGAGGCUACAGGUUCUUAGUGGAAUAAUUCUUGCCCAAUUUUUCUCUUCACAAGUAAAAUUCAGGAGUUGCCAUUGUGGCUUAGUGGUAAUGAACCCAACUAGUAUCCAUGAGGAUGCAGGUUUGAUCCCUGGCUUCACUCAGUGGGUUAAGGAGCUGGCGUUGCUGUGAGCUGUGGUGUAGGCUGCAGACAUGAAUCGGAUCCUGCAUUGCUAUGGCUGUGGUAUAGGCUGGCAGCUGCAGCUCCAAUUCAACCCCCACCCUGGGAACUUCCAUAUGCCCCAAGUGCAGGCAUAAAAAGACCAAAAAAAAAAAAAUCCAGGGAAUGACUUUUAGAAUUAAUUUAAGGGACUUCUUUGGCAAAAUCUGUAGAGGGACUUGGUUUCUUAAAUUUCAAUUUACUGGUAAAGUCCUUUUCUUGAAUCUCAAAUUUUGAUACUAAAUUUAUAUUAUAUACAAGAAUAUAAACUGCAUGGGGUUUGCACCAGUCUACAUAUCAAUAACUUGCAACUCAGCAUGAACGAAUUUUACUUCCUGUUUGCCGGCGGUGCUGGGAUAGAGAUAAUGCAGUCGUUAUCAAGAAGUCAUAAAAAGAACCGGGUAUAGUUCUUCUAAGGGGUGUUACAGUUUUGCUCACUUAAGGAAAGAAGAAAUCAAGAGUACGAAGAGAUUUAGUGUCAGUAGUGCGAAGAAGGAAGUAUUCUUUCAGAGAAAAACUAGUAUGUCAUCUCAUAGCUUUGUACUUGGCUCAUUGUUUCCAACUUCUUUAAUUGUUAAUUCAGAAUUAUUUCUAAGGAAUGUUAGACAAGAUUGGACAAGAUUGUAAUAUGGAGUGAUAGUUGUACUUUCAUGUGGGGAUAAAUUGAGAAUAAGUUUGCAAUAUAUAGAAAUUUACCUGCUACAUUUAGCUCCAGAAGUAUUUAUAGAUGCUUAUGGUUUCUUUCACAAAAAUAAGCAUGGAAUUCCGAUAUAUUUGCAAGGGUUGAUAUUUUGGAAAACAUUUUUUUUUCCCGCUUUUGAUGAUUUUUUUUCAUUUUUUAACUUUCUCUAAAUAUUAGGUAACGCAAUGUUUUAAAGUUUUGAUAGACAUUCUUAACCCACUGGAUUUACCAGAAACCUUCUUUCUCUCCAUAAAAUGUAUUAACAAAUGCCUGUACUACACUGCACACUGUUAAUCCCCUGCCACCGCUUCUGCUCCCAACAGGUUCAGUUGUGGGCUUACCAAGAGUUUGUUGUGUUUUAUUUAUUUAUUUUUAUUUUUUGUCUUUUCGCCAUUUCUUGGGCCGCUCCCGUGGCAUAUGGAGGUUCCCAGGCUAGGAGUCAAAUGGGUGCUGUAGCCACCGGCCUACGCCACAGCCACAGCAAUGCGGGAUCUGAGUCGAGUCUGCAACCUACACCACAACCCACAGCAAUGCUGGAUCCUUAACCCACUGAGCAAGGGUAGGGAUCGAACCCGCAACCUCAUGGUUCCGUCGGAUUUGUUAACCACUGUGCCAUGAUGGGAACUCUGAGUUAGCUGUGUUUUAAACCAGACUUGCUUAUGCCAGCUAUACUUGUAAUUGUGAUCAUGUAAUUAAAUUAGGUAUCACAUAAUUUGGUAAAGUAUAAGACUGAAAACAAUGUUGAAUACUUUGGUCAUACUCCUUAAAAAUGAAUUCCUAAAAAUGUUUUCUUCUAAAUUACAUGUGGGCCAGAGAAAUGUACACAAUUGGAAGGACUUUACCCUCAGAUACUUUUAACUUCCUACCGCACUUCAAAGAUAGUGAAACUGGAAGUCAUAGGUGAUGUACUUGGGCUGGAUUUUAGGCGAGAAAGACAGUAGUAUAAUCAGCAAAUUUACCUUAAGAGACAAGGACUUGGCACUACAUCAAAAGACUAGGGAAUAGGAGUUCACUGGUGGCUCAGUGGGUUAAGGAUCUGGAAUUGUCAAUGGUGUGGCUUGGUCACCGCUCUGGUGCAAGCUCAACCCCUAGACCUGUGCAUGCUGCAGGUGCAGCCAAAAUAAAGGGAGGGAGAGACUAGGGAAUAAACAUGGAUUUUAUGGAUUUUAUAUUUUAAAAUAAAACCUUUAGUAAACAUUGUUCACCCCCCUCCAUUCUUACUUUCAUGGAACUUUUUGAUGAAAUGAUUAACCAACUGUUAGAACUUAACAGUGAAGGGACUCUACUGUAUAUAGUUGUAUAGUUGCAAUUUUGUUAAAGAAAUAAAUUAUCUGCUAUUCCUACUUUCUUAAUUUAAAAAAAGGAAUCAAAAUGUUGACGUGUUCAUGUUAAGUCAUCUUAUUCCUAAAAUGCUUAAAUAUCCAUGUAUUUUUGGUAUAGUCCUAAUUACAUGAUCAAAGACCGAUUUCACUGAUAGAUGUUAUUUGUGCCAACUCUACUAAUAUUUAUCUUAAGGCGUAAAAGUUGGUGGAGAGAAAAUGCCCUUCACUGAUUCAUUGUGGUUUAGUGGGUAACAAACCUCACUAGAAUCCAUGAGGACGUGGGUUUGAUCCUUGGCCUCAUUCGGAGGGUUGAGGAACCGGUUGGUGUUGCUGUGAGCUGUGGUAUAGGUCGUCGAUGAGACUCUGAUCUGGCAUUGCUGUGGCUGUGACGUGGGUGGGGGCUGCAGCUCCAAUCUGACCCCUACCCUGGGAACUUCCAUAUGCAGCCCUAAAAAGAAAGAAAGAAAAAAAA